GACGAACCGUGCGAACGUUGUUCGGAAUCACUGGGCUUAAAGGGCGCGUAGGCGGGUCCGCAAGUCUGUGGUGAAAGCCCCCGGCUCAACCGGGGAAGUGCCGUGGAUACUGCGGGUCUUGAGGGAGGUAGGGGCAUGUGGAACUUCCGGUGGAGCGGUGAAAUGCGUAGAUAUCGGAAGGAACGCCGGUGGCGAAAGCGACGUGCUGGACCUCUUCUGACGCUGAGGCGCGAAAGCCAGGGGAGCAAACGGG
rnacentral:rRNA from 1 species